rnacentral:rRNA from 1 species
UACGUAGGGUGCAAGCGUUGUCCGGAUUUACUGGGCGUAAAGGGCGUGCAGGCGGUCUGUUAAGUCUAGGGUGAAAGCUCCCGGCUCAACUGGGAGAGGUCCUUGGAUACUGGCGGACUUGAGGGAGGCAGAGGAGAGUGGAAUUCCCGGUGUAGUGGUGAUAUGCGUAGAUAUCGGGAGGAACACCAGUGGCGAAGGCGGCUCUCUGGGCCUUACCUGACGCUGAGACGCGAAAGCGUGGGGAGCGAACCGG